AUUGAACGCUGGCGGAACGCUUUACACAUGCAAGUCGAACGGCAGCACGGGUGCUUGCACCUGGUGGCGAGUGGCGAACGGGUGAGUAAUACAUCGGAACGUACCCAGUUGUGGGGGAUAACUAACCGAAAGGUUAGCUAAUACCGCAUACGACCUACGGGUGAAAGCAGGGGACCUUCGGGCCUUGCGCGAUUGAAUGAGCCGAUGUCGUAUUAGCUAGUUGGCGGGGUAAAGGCCCACCAAGGCGACGAUCCGUAGCUGGUCUGAGAGGAUGAUCAGCCACACUGGAACUGAGACACGGUCCAGACUCCUACGGGAGGCAGCAGUGGGGAAUAUUGGACAAUGGGCGCGAGCCUGAUCCAGCCAUACCGCGUGGGUGAAGAAGGCCUUCGGGUUGUAAAGCCCUUUUGUUGGGAAAGAAAUCCAGCUGGCUCAUACCCGGUUGGGAUGACGGUACCCAAAGAAUAAGCACCGGCUAACUUCGUGCCAGCCGCCGCGGUAA
rnacentral:rRNA from 1 species